rnacentral:lncRNA from 1 species
AAUAAUAUCUAUGAGAAAAUAAAAUAUUAUAAUAUACAAAAAUAAAAAUAAAUUUAAAAUAUAGUUUAAAGAUUGAUAAAAUACUAUAAUAUAAUGGUGUCUUUGAAAAAAACUAGUAUAAUAUAGCAAAUAAAAAUAACACUAGAGUACGGUAUAUUGGCUCAAAGGGGGCAGUAUCAUAGUGGGAGACUAGAUUUGGUUGAGUCACGUUCGAAGUUAUGAUAGGUCAGAUUAGGCCGAAACAUGUUCGAAAUAUGUUUUAAGUAAAUUGAUUGUACAUUCUAAUAGUUUGAGUUUUUAAAAUUAAUAAUUAGCGUAAAAUAUCUUACAGUACUAUGUCAAUACCUUAUCAGUA